UUAACAUUUGCUGCUUAAGUGCUGAACAUGUUCAGACAAGAUGGAAGAAAUUGUUCAAAAAGGGAGAUGGAAAGAAAAAAAAUUCUCUGAAGAUGGAGGAGUAUCCGUGUCAGGAUGAAGAAAUUGGCAAGUGGAUAAAUGUGACAAAACAGAAAAAGAGAAGGAAAGAAAAUUCACUAGGGUAAGAGCUAUGGAAAGGCCUGUGAGCCUACAAAAUUAAGCUGUACCUGGAAGAUACAAAAUACUAGGCCAGGUGAAAUCCUAAUGAUGCAAGAAACACAUGCACAUUGCUAAGUAGAAUAACCACAGUUGUAACUCUUGGGAAAUAACAAUGGUUAAUACCUUUUGAACUGGGACUCCAGAAAAAGUGUGUUUGAUUGAACAGCUUGUAUGAGACUGAUUUUUUUACUGGAGUCUUCCAGCUGUCAGUGAAAAACAGAGAGAGAGAGAGAGA